GUGGGUGAAUUACUAGACUGCUAAUCCUGUGCCCCAGAGAUAACACCCUGGCACCCG
rnacentral:tRNA from 1 species